GACGAACGCUGGCGGCGUGCUUAACACAUGCAAGUCGAACGGAAAGGCCCUGCUUUUGUGGGGUGCUCGAGUGGCGAACGGGUGAGUAACACGUGAGUAACCUGCCCUUGACUUUGGGAUAACUUCAGGAAACUGGGGCUAAUACCGGAUAGGAGCUCCUGCUGCAUGGUGGGGGUUGGAAAGUUUCGGCGGUUGGGGAUGGACUCGCGGCUUAUCAGCUUGUUGGUGGGGUAGUGGCUUACCAAGGCUUUGACGGGUAGCCGGCCUGAGAGGGUGACCGGCCACAUUGGGACUGAGAUACGGCCCAGACUCCUACGUGAGGCAACAGUGGGGAAUAUUGCACAAUGGGCGGAAGCCUGAUGCAACAACGCCGCGUGCGGGAUGACGGCCUUCGGGUUGUAAACCGCUUUCGCCUGUGACGAAGCGUGAGUGACGGUAAUGGGUAAAGAAGCACCGGCUAACUACGUG
rnacentral:rRNA from 1 species